UACAGGGGGGGUAAGCGUUGUUCGGAAUUACUGGGCGUAAAGGGUUCGUAGGUGGCUUGCUAAGUCUGACGUGAAAUCCCUCAGCUUAACUGGGGAACUGCGUCUGAUACUGGCGAGCUUGAGUGCAGGAGAGGAACGCGGAAUUCCAGGUGUAGCGGUGAAAUGCGUAGAUAUCUGGAGGAACACCGGUGGCGAAGGCGGCGUUCUGGACUGCAACUGACACUGAGGAACGAAAGCCAGGGGAGCAAACGGG
rnacentral:rRNA from 1 species